AGCUUUGCGCAGUGGCAGUAUCGUAGCCAAUGAGGUUUAUCCGAGGCGCGAUUAUUGCUAAUUGAAAAUAUACCAACCAGACAGCAUCACAGGGGAAUUCUACUGAACAUUUUUUUUUUAAGAUUUUUUAUUUUAUUUAUUUGGCAGAGAGAGAAAU
rnacentral:snRNA from 1 species